AUACGGAGGGUGCGAGCGUUAAUCGGAAUUACUGGGCGUAAAGCGUACGUAGGCGGUUGGUUAAGUUAGAUGUGAAAGCCCCGGGCUUAACCUGGGAACUGCAUUUAAAACUGGCGAACUAGAGUUGAGUAGAGGGGAGUGGAAUUUCAGGUGUAGCGGUGAAAUGCGUAGAGAUUUGAAGGAACACCAGUGGCGAAGGCGACUCCCUGGACUCGAACUGACGCUGAGGUACGAAAGCGUGGGUAGCAAACGGGAUUAGAAACCCCAGUAGUCC
rnacentral:rRNA from 1 species